UGGGGGAUAUUGCACAAUGGGCGAAAGCCUGAUGCAGCGACGCCGCGUGGGGGAUGAAGGCUUUCGGGUUGUAAACCUCUUUCGCUAUCGAACAAGGCCCGCUUAGGGUGGGUUGAGGGUAGGUGGAGAAGAAGCGCCGGCUAACUACGUGCCAGCAUCCGCGGUAAUACGUAGGGCGCGAGCGUUGUCCGGAAUUAUUGGGCGUAAAGGGCUUGUAGGCGGCUUGUUGCGCCUGCUGUGAAAACGCGGGGCUUAACUUCGCGCGUGCAGUGGGUACGGGCAGGCUUGAGUGUGGUAGGGGUGACUGGAAUUCCAGGUGUAGCGGUGGAAUGCGCAGAUAUCUGGAGGAACACCGAUGGCGAAGGCAGGUCACUGGGCCAUUACUGACGCUGAGGAGCGAAAGCAUGGGUAGCGAACAGG
rnacentral:rRNA from 1 species